rnacentral:rRNA from 1 species
AGUGGCGAACGGGUGAGUAACACGUGAGCAACCUGCCCCGAAGACUGGGAUAACAGUGGGAAACCGCUGCUAAUACCGGAUACCCCCACCUGGGUCACAUGGCCUGGUGAGGAAAUGGAUUCCGCUUCGGGAGGGGCUCGCGGCCAUCAGCUUGUUGGUGGGGUAACGGCCUACCAAGGCUUCGACGGGUAGCUGGUCUGUGAGGACGAUCAGCCACACUAGGACUGAGACACGGCCCAGACUCCUACGGGAGGCAGCAGUAGGGAAUCUUGCGCAAUGGGCGAAAGCCUGACGCAGCAACGCCGCGUGAGGGAUGGAGGCCUUCGGGUUGUAAACCUCUUUCAGCAGGGACGAUUGUGACGGUACCUGCAGAAGAAGCCCCGGCCAACUACGUGCCGGCAGCCGCGGUAAUACGUAGGGGGCGAGCGUUGUCCGGAAUCAUUGGGCGUAAAGAGCUCGUAGGCGGUUUGGUAAGUCGGGUGUGAAACCUCCAGGCUCAACCUGGAGAUGCCACUCGA